rnacentral:rRNA from 1 species
AAUAGAUACCCUGGUAGUCCUAGCCGUAAACGAUACUCGCUAGGUGUCGGCCACGGUGCGACCGUUGUCGGUGCCGUAGGGAAGCCGUGAAGCGAGCCACCUGGGAAGUACGGCCGCAAGGCUGAAACUUAAAGGAAUUGGCGGGGGAGCACCACAACGGGUGGAGCUUGCGGUUUAAUUGGAUUCAACGCCGGAAAUCUUACCGGGACCGACAGCAAUAUGAAGGCCAGGCUGAAGACUUUGCCGGAUUAGCUGAGAGGUGGUGCAUGGCCGUCGUCAGUUCGUACUGUGAAGCAUCCUGUUAAGUCAGGCAACGAGCGAGACCCACGCCCACAGUUGCCAGCGUACUCUCCGGAGUGACGGGUACACUGUGGGGACCGCCGCUGCUAAAGCGGAGGAAGGAAUGGGCAACGGUAGGUCAGUAUGCCCCGAAUAUCCCGGGCUACACGCGAGCUACAAUGGUUGGUACAAUGGGUAUCUACCCCGAAAGGGGAUGGAAAUCUCCUAAAGCCAAUCUUAGUUCGGAUUGAGGGCUGCAACUCG